UACGUAGGGUGCGAGCGUUGUCCGGAAUUACUGGGCGUAAAGGGUUCGUAGGUGGCUUGUUGCGUCGACUGUGAAAACCCGCGGCUUAACUGCGGGCUUGCAGUUGAUACGGGCAGGCUAGAGUUCGGUAGGGGAGACUGGAAUUCCUGGUGUAGCGGUGAAAUGCGCAGAUAUCAGGAGGAACACCAAUGGCGAAGGCAGCUCGCUGGAACGGUACUGACGCUGAGGCGCGAAAGCGUGGGGAGCGAACAGG
rnacentral:rRNA from 1 species